AUCCCCCUGGAGAGAAGACAAUACAAGAAAUGUAUGAAACUGCUUAAAACCACAAUAUUACGUAAUAGCCAGUGAUGUAUGGCCAAAAUAAAAAGGAAUAAUAGGUGGGUAAACUAUAAUCGUGGUGAGCAAAGUAACACUCCAUAUACCUUCAAUGUAUUUUUGCGCAAAAGGUGGGUAAACGCUAGGGCAAAAUAGAAGUGGCUAAACAGCGUUAACCAAUGUUCACUCUAAUUUUUGGGGGCACUGAGCAAAUUUCUGGUCUGUUGAUUGCAAACUUGAACGUGUUUACUGUGAACACAAGAGGCUGUAGCUGCUUUAAUUUACAUUUAGCGGUGGCCAAGUAGGCUACUGUGACUAUUUGAUCAUAGUGUAGGCCUACCAGCGUGGCCUACCAUCAAAAACAAUGGAUGAAACAACAUUUUAACAUUGAAAUAGAACCGCUAUCACUCAGCCUACAGUAGCAGACAAUGUGUGAUGUUCAAUGUAGACCUACAUUCCAUGAGACUGUUGAAAAAAAACAUGCAGGGCUUGACAUUAACCUUUUUUAUCCACUUGUCCGUCAGACAAGGAAGUGACUGAAAAUGUUGUUUGAUGCAAGAAACCACUAAAAAGAUAAAAAGCAUUAUUAUUCCUAUACCAUUAUUUUAGAAAAUCAGACAUUAUGCUAUCCUCUGCCUACUUAGCUUAUUCAAGCCGGUUUUCAAAUACAACACUGCCCCUUUAAGACAAAAAAGCUCCUUAUGACUCGUUUUUCAAAUAUGUCUAGAAAUGUACAAGUUUGGUGCUCUUGUAGAAAGCAAUCAAUCCCCUAUUGCUGACUACAAAUAAUCUAUAACUGGGAUAACUCACUAACUAGCAAAGGAUAUGAACAAAAUGUGCAUAUGUGGCUACAUGCAGCUCUCGCUCUGAUCUCAAAACAAGCACAUCACUCACGACCGCUCAUGCUAUAAACAAAGUCCAGUUCAAAGUAAAUGGCACAGAUCCAUAUAUGGCAAUGGGCUACUUGCAUAUAGGCCUACUGCAGCUCCAAUUGUUUAUGCCGCACAGGUCUGUGUAGAGUACGGGCUGAGUAGUUUGUCUCAAUGCAAUAGAAUCUUACUCCGAUAUGUUCUGUAUACAACAAUCUCUUGCAUAGUUGAUUUUGUUUUGGUAUGUUGCAUUGAAAGUGGCUAAUAUUGCAUUGAUUCUAUCACAGUUGCCACAGUAAAAGAAAACAUUGAUAGUGUUAACAGGGAAAACUCUAGAACAGUGGUCACCAACCUUUUCUGAGUCAAGAUCACUUUGAGUCUAACUGCAAGACGAGAUCUACCGCAGAGAUUAAAAAAACGACAAAAAAAGCUGACUUCAACUUAAGCCUAUGCAACAUUAACCAAUUAAAAACAGUACUGUGGCAAUGAGGUUUGUGCAGUAAGCCAUCACCAUAUAUUGGCUUUUCUUGAAUUGCUCUGCCAAUGCAUUGUUCUUCGGUCAUUUAAUGUAUUUUUAUAUACAAACAUUUGAGGUAGGCAAUAUGAUCACACAUGUAAUUGAUCAAUUGUUGUAUUACUUGGAGGCACAGCUGAGUGAGAAUACAUUUGAAAUGUUUUGCUUAUUUUUAUUUUCCUGGGCUGAUGGUACCUGCAUCUGAUGGUCAGUCUCAGUGGAGGAAAAGAGCAGUAGACUAAAGGUCCGCCUCAACAUCCCUUCCCUCUCCCUUUCCUCCACUAACCAAAGGGUAAUGUUUUGCAGAGGGAAGUGGACAAAUGCAUAAUCUGAAUGACUGAAGACCCACCAAGGAGCCACCAAGUCCUUGAGGAACACACCAAUAGCUCAAGGAACCAUCAUGCGACCUUAGUUAGGCUAUUCUUUGUUUAGACUACAGAGUGGGGUGUCUUGUUCUGUUUAUGUAGCCCAUGUGAAAUGGCAAGCGAGUUAGCAGCGUUCAAUCAAUGACGCCGCUCUGAGACAUAGAAGUAGUCGUUUCCCCUGCUCUGUAAGGGCUGCGGCUUUUGUGGAGCGACAGGUAACAAUGCUUUGUGGGUGACUGUUGUAAAUGUAUUCAGAGGGUUCCAGGUUUGAGCCCAGGGCAAGGCAAGGAGAGGGACGGAAGCAACACCAUUACAUUGAGAACAAACAGAACUGGAAGCAUUAAGGGAUGAGAAAUGGUGAAUUCCUUGAAUGAUGCCUAAAGAGAUAAGCCAAUGUACAAAGCAGUGGCCUUGGAGGACAGAGUUUCGUAGGCGUACUCAGUGUUCCUCAGUUAACUGGACAAUGGUGCCAUUUGAUGACUCCAGUUCAAAUAGUGGCACUCAAACAUUAGCAAGUAAGGCAAAGUUCAAUAGUACUGAGCUCAGUUUAAAAAAUGGCUUCAUUAUAGUCCAAGGCACUUAACAAAAGUAGCAAAUGUAAAAGCCACUGUGUAUUACACAUGAACAGCAUUCUUAUGUGUAAUCUUGAUGUUUAAAAAAAUGAUCAUAUGAGUGUGCAUUUCAACUCCUCAGCGACAAGUUGGCAACAAGUUGGACAACUGGGAAUUAGCUGGUUUUCAUUAGAGGGGCAUGCCUUGAGGAUAUCCAAGUACCCAAAAUGAAAAACUAAGGGGUAUUAACACCACACAUAACUACGAUUUGUACUUUAAACCUGCCACUUAUUUAGUCAGUGGUCUAGCAAUGGCAUAGUGCUCCAGGGAGACAUUUAGCCCACCUCUUCAAAAAUCUAAAAGCGCUCGUAAAUGAAAUUAAAAUAAACGCUAAGAACAAAACAGUUUUUGCAUGAGCAGAAAUGUAGUGGACAUAGACUUGGUUGGUUAUCCCAACCACUUGCCUACUCUAUUCUAUUUACCAUUGUCCUUCAUAAAAGCUUCCGACUGUAGUCACAACCCAAGUCAUUUUCUCAAGCUGAAAAACUAUGGUCUGAGCUCAUUCGGAACACGUACAACAAUUUUAGUCCGGAAAGGAUAGUUUGUGGAAAUAUGAAAGUAAAAAUGUUUAAGCAGAAUAAGGAAGUGAGACCGCUGGCCAGUGCUCUUUAAACCAACAAAUAAUUUGAGGGGAAACUCGUCUUACCAGUGGCCAUGCAGGGUGAGGGCGGCAGCCAGCGAGUAGUCAACAGCAGGUCCGGGGAAGUAGUAGGCAGCAGGCCCCAAAGCCAGCAGCAGUACGCUCACCACACGCUCUCCUGUCCAAUGCAGAGAGGCAGCUUUGGACACAGAGCCAGCUGCAAAAAGACAAAUAACAAAACAUCCAAUCAUUGUUACGUUCCCCAGUUUGUGUAUUUGCAUCUGUUUAUUUCAAGAAAUGGCUUCCUGAAAUCCCUCAAGCAGCUGAUUAGUCGACUCCAUGGCUAAUUGGAGAGCUGACCCCGCCCCCUCGUCAAGACUCAGCUGUCUCCAGUUACACAUUCAUUCUGAAGCUAUAUAAAAGCCAGUGUUCUGUUUAGGAGAGAGAUUUUGCUGGAGGUAGAUUUGCUAGAGAUUUUGUGGGAGGUCAUUGCAGAGAGAUUUUGCUAGAGGUUGAUUUUGCUGGGAGUUCAUUGCUGGGAAGUGGUAUGUUCUGUGAGUUUGUUUCUCAGGUAGAGCUUAUUUGAUGUCCUUUGUUUCUUAGUUAGUUUGAAAAUGGUUUAAUAUUCUGUUUCAUUUGUUCCCAGGGGGGAAGGGGAAGGCACCUAGGGAGUGCUUAGGCAAGAGGCCCGCGGGCAUACAUAUACCCGUAGUAUAUUCAUUGUCUAGGCACAAUAGGUAAGACCUGGGCGGACCACCCCCUGUAUUUUGGUUAGGACACCAGGUGGUACUAAAUUAAGUAUUGGUUAGGCAGGUAAGAUAGGAGAGGGGGCUUUGAGAUUUAAUUUCUUUGCUUUGGUUCCGUCCAGCCCCCUUUCCCCAUAUUACCGUGUAAAGGAAUAAAGUCCUUGUAAACGGUA